ACAUACUUCUUUAUGUACCCAUAUGAACAUAGAAUGCUAUGGAAUGUAAAGAAGUGUGUAU
rnacentral:pre_miRNA from 1 species